AUACGGAGGGUGCAAACGUUGUUCGGAAUCACUGGGCGUAAAGGGCGCGCAGGCGGUUUGAUUAGGCGGAUGUGAAAGCCCACGGCUUAACCGUGGAAGUGCAUUUGAAACUGUCAGACUUGAGUACCAGAGGGGGUAGUGGAAUUCCCGGUGUAGAGGUGAAAUUCGUAGAUAUCGGGAGGAAUACCGGUGGCGAAGGCGACUACCUGGCUGGAUACUGACGCUGAGGCGCGAAAGCGUGGGGAGCAAACAGGAUUAGAAACCCUAGUAGUCC
rnacentral:rRNA from 1 species